ACAGUUUAACUCGACUCUGUGGCAUUUAUUUCUGUAAACAUUAAAACGAAACCCCUUGAAAAGUGUCUCUAUCUUCAUGUCUUUGUCAGCUCCUGGAGACGUCAAGAAAAGCCAGUCCCUCUCCUUUACUGUUACUUCGUAGCCUUUCUUAACCCUUUCCUCGAACAUGCCCCGUAUCUACGAUAACUCCUGGCAACCAAUGAAGAGGGUGUGUUUGAAACUAUUUAAAAUACGUUUGGCAUUAUUCAUAAUAGAGUCGUCAAGAGCGCCGUGACUAUGAAGUAGCCGUUUCUUCAUCAAUUCCCUGGGGUGAUUAUGCCUUAAACUCCUUACUACUACAAUUUUAACUGAUCUGGGGGGAACAUUUCCAAAGGGUAAGAGACAAGUAAUGUUGGGUUCACAACAGCUUUGCUUAUCUUUAGAGGUCUGCCAAAGGUUCAAGACGUGAGCUCUUACCAGGGAAUUGUAUAGGGGCUCGUGUGAACCAAGUAACGGAAGAACUAUUGUGAACAUGGAGUUUCAAGGGGAGGUCAGUCUUUGCCAAAAUUGUCCACUGAUUUGGUAACUUUGCAUAACUCCCGUGGAACUUUGUGGAGUCGUCCAUUUAGAUGGUAGCCCAACUGCCCGUAGAAAUAUUUUUUUAAUUUUAAGUGCCCAGAAGUCCUCACCAAGAAUCAACCUAUUGAACCAAGAAAAAUUCAAUGAUUUCCAACUUGCUUCGGGAUUUAAGCAGCCUAGUCCCCAGUCUCUAAUGGGAGCCUCUAACCGGGUUUGCGACAUAUACGCCCUAUUUUUAUUCCAUAGGAAAUCCGGUCGAAUCUUGUACAUUUUUUGCAAAUAUCCUCUCUGAAAGGAGUGUACUUUAUAAGGUUGAUUCAUUUUGGGAUCAUUAUGGAGUUCCAUAUUUUAACUUUAUCUAAAAGAUUCAGGCGAAUUGAUACAUAUAAGUUUUUUAAGUUGUCUAGUUUUGACAAAAUUAAUGACUCAAUUAUUUUUAUAGCUCCCUCAGGUUGGGAUGUUUCAAUGUUGACAACCAGGAGCAAAGACGAAGUGAAGAACUUGAGAUGUGUAAAUUUUGCCAUAAGAGCUAACUCAUCGGACUGUGAGAAAUACUCCUUUAAUCGAGCUUGUUAAGAUCUCCGUAGAACCCUCUAUGAUAGUUAUGAGGUCAUCGGCAUACCAGAACAUCUAACAGCAAUUAAGAAUAGAGAUGGGGAUAGACUAUCCCCUUGUGCUAAGGAAACUGGACAUAUGUCCCCCUAUUUAUACUAUACUAGGAACACUCUUGAGAAUAGUGGCUAUCAUUCUUACAAACUUGUGUGGAAAAUAUACUUCGAACAAUUCCCGAAGAAUGAAUCGGCGGGAGACAGUAUCAAAAGCUUUCUCGAAAUCUAUCAGACAAACUAGAAAACUUUCGCCUGCCAUCUUAAUUUCAUUGAUCAUAUCUUGGACUGUAAAUGUGAUGCCUUCAGAAAAUCUAUUUUUCUUAAAGCCUUUCCGUUCCUGUGGAGUCAUAUGUGGGAGGAUCUUCAUUAGCCUCUUGUUUAACAUUCCUGUCGAAAUUUUGGAUCAAUACUAGAGUCCCUGUACUCAUGAACUUAGGUAUCGAUUCAGAAUCAAAGAUUUCCUUGUAAGCUCCCUGAAGGAUUGGGACAACAACUGAUACAAAUGUUUUAUAGAACUCAAAAGGGGGAUCCGAUAUCCCAGGUUCAUCUAUUGGAGAAAACUCAAUCUUAUCCUCUACUCGUCCAAGUCUGGCCUCCCUCGAAUAUAGCUGAACCACCUUGAAGAGUUUUCGAGACGCUAGCUAUGACAAAAUUUACACAAAGCCUGACUCGUGCAGUUCCCACACAGGUAUAACUACAGUAUGUUAGCCUUUUCAAGGAAGUCAUUUGUUUUGAAUUGAAGACAUUCUCGAUGCGAGCUAUACUAUUGAGUAUUGUGGCACCCCACAGAUUAGGAACAAAAGCAAUUUCUACCACGUUGCGUUAAAAAAAACCAAAUGUAUCCUGAAUGUAAAAUAUAACACUUAGAAGGAAAUAUAUCCAAUAACCUUAAUUUAUUGCGUUAUUGAGUAAAAAUAAUCCUAAUAUAUGAAAUAUAGUCCUAUUAUUUAACAA
rnacentral:lncRNA from 1 species